rnacentral:lncRNA from 1 species
CUCCACUCCUUGCAAAUCUGGAUGUGUAUCCGUUGCCUGGUGGCGUGUUGCUAUGUGUGCUAUCUUUAUCCCACAUCACGUGUUCCCUCGCUGGUCGACACCGUAACCGCAUGCUCAAGCACCAUCAAUGGCGAGCAAGAGCUUGGACAAUUGGCGCAUACCUAGAUUUUGUACACGGGGCGCGUCCGAGAACAUGUGAUACCUAUCGUCAAGGCCAAGGGCGCACAGUAGGAGAAUGUGGGAUGCUUAAUCAAGUGCGUGACACAAAACCGCAAACAGGACAAGGACAUCAAGCCGGAUCAACGGGGAACAAAGAAUGCACAGGAACGUGGGAUGCUCGAUAAACUCCAUCUGCUGCCAUUAUCCCUAGUCUCUCCACCUCCCUUGCCUUGUUUAUCAGCUAUUUUCAGUAGUGGCAUCAUCGCCUUGAGUCACUUGUGUGGCUCUCAUCUCUAUCCACCAAUAUAAUAAUCAACAUGCUCAUCUACUAAACCUANACAGUGGCAGUUAAGAUAGCAUACUAUGCUGAAGCUGUUCCUUUUGUUCCCAUCUUGUAGAUGAGCCAUAGACGUCUUAUCGCGAGCGAAUAUAAGUUUGUUCAAGGAAUGGUACAACUUAGUCACUGGCCAAUUAUAGUACCAUCUUUUUUCGGUUCAACAUGCUGGAUCCUGGACAAGCACAUCUGUCAUGAAUAACAAUAUUAAGUGUCAACAUCACAUAUGCAAUAUAGUAAGCAGCAAACGAUGAAUAACCUUCUCAGGAAAAUAGUGAUGUUCAUCAUCAGGUUUGUCCCAGCUGUGCUUACUAGCAGGCUGUAUACGGUGAUCCGUCGAUCUUUGUCUUCUUUUCCUCCAAAAACAACCCUCCAUAAGGUAGCUAACCAAAGUUAAUUUUCUAAACCUCAAUAUAAAAAAUCUACACCAUUGGUAGUCUAGUAUGGGAGAUUCAGGUAACCAUAUUAUACAAAAGGAGUAAACAUCCAUCAAACAUGCAAAAUGUUAUGCACCUAAAAUGAAAACAAAUUCCCUUCCAAGAACAUGAUGAGCUUGUAUAACAAAGAUGUGAAUAAGGAAUUGCCAAUUGUAUGUAGAGAAUGGGUAAAUUUAAUCAACAUGGAAUCUACGAGGGAUACCCAGAACAUGUUAAAAUGAAUAUCUUAAGGCAUUUUAGUGGACUUUAACUGUCAAUUUAUGGGAUUUUCAAAAACAAUCAAUUUAAGCAGCAUUUCUUUUCCCGGGACAAGCUAGUGAGUAGUACGUAGUAUCUGGAUUAAUCAACUGACUAUAUUCAUCUAAAAUCUCAUAGUCCAUCAUGAAAUUUGGUUCAAGAUCACAAUCGCCUACCUAAAUCCAUUUUUUCUUAAUUUUAUUGAAAAAAUGCUUAUUCACCAAUAUGAUAACCACCAAGCUAACCUACUAGACUUAAAUUCACAUAAUCCACCAAACACCUUAUACUGACUCGUCAAGUCACAAUCACCUAACUAUAUCCAACUAAAAUCUUAUAAUCCAUCGUGAAAUUUGAUUUAAGAUUGCAAUCACCUAACUAAAUCCAAAAUGUUUCAAACAAAAUUAAAGAUAUAUUUAUCCAUCAAUAUAAUAAUCACCAUGCUCAUUUAUCAUACCUAAACUCUCAUAACCACCGAACAUUUUAGACUAUCUUCUCAAGAUUAAAUCACGUAACUAAAUCCACCUAAAAUCUUAUAAUUCAUCAUGAAAUACAGUUCAAUAUCACAAUCACCUAACUAAAUCCAAAUUUUCCAAGAAUUAAUCCACUAAACAUUUUUUACCGUCUCCUCAAGAUCAUAGUGAACUAAAUAAAUGCAUCAAAAUCUCGAAAUCCACCAUGAAAUUGGGUCCAAGAUCACAAUUGCCUAACUAAAUCCAAAUUGCUUCAAGUUUAUUAAAGAUCCAUUUAUCCACCAAUAUAGUAACCACCAUGCUCAUUUACUAGACAUAAAUUUUCAUAAUCCACCGAACAUCUUUGACCAUCUCGUCAAGAUCACAAUCACCUAACUAAAUCUCCACGUCAUCUCCAUUUUGUAAAACCUUAUUUUCAGAAUAAUCCCAUGGGCAUUAGUGACACUCUUGAGUUUUUAUAAAACAUCUAUGAGUAACAAAGAUUCUUCCCAAGUCCUAUGAUUUACAUGACUAGCAUGGCUAAGCAUUACUAUUAAACUUGAACAUAUGAACCACAUUUAUUUGCGACUACUACAUGGUUAGGAAGGAGGGCUAUUAAGAAUGUCAAAGGAGGGUGUCAAUAGCUUUUACAAGCUCGUCAAGAUCCCAAUCACCCAACUAAAUCCAUGCAAAACCUCAUAAUCCAUCAUAAAAUUAGGUCAAAAUAUGACAAUCACCUAACUAAAUCCAUUUUUUUCCUAAUUAACUUAAAUAUUUGUUUAUCCACCAAUAUAAUAAUCCUCAUGCUUAUCUUGUAGACCAAAAAUCUCAUAAUCCACCAAACUUCCUCGACUAUCUUUUGAAGACACAAUCACCUAACUAAAUCCAACUAAAAUCUCAUAAAUCACCGAGAACCUAAUUAAAUCCAAAUUGUUCAAAAUUAGUUAAUCCACGAACAACUUUGACAUCUCCCCAAGACCACAAUCUACUAACUAAAUCCAUUGAAAAUCUCGUAAUCCACCGCAAAAUUUGUUCAAGAUCACAAUUGCCUAACUACAUCCAGAUUGCUCCAUGUUUACUAAAGAUCCAUUUAUCCACCAAUAUAAUAACCAUCAUGGUCCCUUACUAGACCUAAAUUUUACUACAUUUCAUCAAUCAUCUCUGACUAUCUAUUUAAGAUCACAGUCAUCUAACUAAAUCCAACAAAGCCUCAAAAUCCCAUCAUGAAUUUGGUUGAAAAAAUACGAUCACCUAACUAAAUCAAAAUUGUUCCAAACUAAAUUAAAGAUAUGUUUAUCCACCAAUAUAAAUUCACCAUUCUCAUCUUCUAAACCUAAAAUCUCACAGUCAAGCAAACAUCUUUAACUAUAUUCUCAAGACACAAUCAUUUAACUAAAUCCACGUAAAAUCUCAUAAUCCAGCGUGAAAUUCGGUUUAGUAUCACGGCCACCUAAGUAAAUUCAAAUUGUCCAAGAUUAAUUAAUCCACCAAACAUAUUUAGAGUAUCUCCUCAAAAUAGCCAUCAACUAACCAAUCCAUCAAAAAUCUCAUAAUUCACAAUAAAAUUUGGUUCAAGGCCACAAUCGGCUAAUUAAAUCCAAAUUGUUUUAAAUUUAUUAAAGAUUCAUUUAUUUACCAAAUAAUAAUCAACAUGCUCACCUAUUAGACCUAAAUUCACAUAAUCCACCGAAAAUAUUUUACUAAGUCGUCGAAAUAAAAAACACCUAACUAAAACCAACCAAAACACCCACCGUAAAAUUAGUUUAAAAGAUCACAAUCACCUAACUAAAUCCAAAUUGUUUCAAACUAAAUUAAAUAUAUGUUUAUCCACCAAUAUAAUAAUCAUCAUGCUCAUCUACUAGACCUAAAAUCUCAUAAUCCACCAAACAUCUCUGAUUAUCAUCUCAAGACACAAUCACCUAACUAAAUCCAACUAAAAUCUCAUAAAUCACAAAAUAAUAGUUCAAUAUCACAAUCACCUAACUAAAUCCAUAUUCUUCAAGAUCAAUUCAUCCACCAAAUUUUUUUGACUCUCUCCUCAAGAUCACAACCACCUAAAUCCAUUGAAAAAUCUCGUAAUCCAUCAUGCAAUUUGUUCAAGAUCACAAUCGCCUAACUAAAUCCAAAUUGUUCCAUGUUUACUAAAGAAGUCGCUACUUUAUUGGAGAUUGAGGUUUCUUCUAUCUCUAAUGGCUUCUUUAUUUCCUAAGAGAAGUAUAUCUAGGAUAUUCUUACUCAUGCUGCUUUGAUGAGCACACUGUUGAGACUCCUAUGGAGCUCAACAUCCACUUUUGUGUCNNNNNNNNNNNNNNNNNNNNNNNNNNNNNNNNNNNNNNNNNNNNNNNNNNNNNNNNNNNNNNNNNNNNNNNNNNNNNNNNNNNNNNNNNNNNNNNNNNNNAACCAACCAAAACACCCACCGUAAAAUUAGGUUAAAAGAUCACAAUCACCUAACUAAAUCCAAGUUGUUUAAAACUAAAUUAAACAUAUGUUUACCCACCAAUAUAAUAAUCACCAUGCUCAUCUACUAGAUCUAAAAUCUCAGAAUCCACGAAACAUCUCUGAUUAUCAUCUCAAGACACAAUCACCUAACUAAAUCCAACUAAAAUCCCAUAAAUCACGAAAAAAUAGUUUAAUAUCACACUCACCUAACUAAAUCCAUAUUGUUCAAGAUCAAUUAAUCCACCAAACAUUUUUGACUAUCUCCUAAAGAACACAAUCACCUAAAUCCAUUGAAAAAUCUCGUAAUCCAUCAUGCAAUUUGUUCAAGAUCACAAUCGCCUAACUAAAUCCAAAUUGUUCCAUGUUUACUAAAGAAGUCACUACUUUCUUGGAGACUGAGGUUUCUUCUAUCUCUAAUGGCAUCUUUAUUUCCUAAGAGAAGUAUAUCUAGGAUCUUCUUACUCAUGAUGCUGUGAUGAGCACACUCUUGAGACUCCUAUGGAGCCCAACAUCCACUUUUGUGUCCACCUCCGCUCCUGGUAAAUCCGGAU